CAGCAGCCGCGGGAAUACGUAGGGUGCAAGCGUUGUCCGGAAUUAUUGGGCGUAAAGAGCUCGUAGGCGGCUUGUCACGUCGGCUGUGAAAACCUGGGGCUCAACCCCGGGCCUGCAGACGAUACGGGCUAGCUAGAAUUCGGUAGGGGAGACUGGAAUUCCUGGUGUAGCGGUGAAAUGCGCAGAUAUCAGGAGGAACACCGGUGGCGAAGGCGGGUCUCUGGGCCGAUAUUGACGCUGAGGAGCGAAAGCGUGGGGAGCAAACAGGAUUAGAUACCCCUGUAGUCCCUGUCUCUUAUAC
rnacentral:rRNA from 1 species